ensembl:lncRNA novel transcript
CCAGGUAGGGCCCCAGGGAGGAGACUGGGCUUGGUUCUGAUUUAACUCAUGAGAAAUACCAGGAAGUUCUGAGGAAGAUGAAAGAGGAAAAGGAGACGCUGCUUCUUGAAAAACAAAUAUCCAAAGCCCAGGAUGACUCCUCUCAAACAGUGAAACCGGGAUCAAUUUUGGCAGACACCACCCAAAGAAACAUGGAGAGGACCACCAUUAAGAAACAGGAGAGAAGGUGUUGGUACAAGUAAGCGGAAGAAUCUUGCUUUUACCUAGCCUAGACCACAUUUCACUCUACACAUUACCUGAUAAGGGCCAAAAGAACAAGAAUAAACACAUCAUCCACUGAUCAGAAUACAUAA